GGUUAAGCGACUAAGCGUACACGGUGGAUGCCCUGGCAGUCAGAGGCGAUGAAGGACGUGCUAAUCUGCGAAAAGCGUCGGUAAGGUGAUAUGAACCGUUAUAACCGGCGAUGUCCGAAUGGGGAAACCCAGUGCAAUUCGUUGCACUAUCGUUAACUGAAUACAUAGGUUAACGAGGCGAACCGGGGGAACUGAAACAUCUAAGUACCCCGAGGAAAAGAAAUCAACCGAGAUUCCCCCAGUAGCGGCGAGCGAACGGGGAGCAGCCCAGAGUCUGAAUCAGCUUGUGUGUUAGUGGAACGGUCUGGAAAGUCCGACGGUACAGGGUGAUAGUCCCGUACACCAAAAUGCACAGGCUGUGAACUCGAAGAGUAGGGCGGGACACGUGGUAUCCUGUCUGAAUAUGGGGGGACCAUCCUCCAAGGCUAAAUACUCCUGACUGACCGAUAGUGAACCAGUACCGUGAGGGAAAGGCGAAAAGAACCCCGGCGAGGGGAGUGAAAAAGAACCUGAAACCGUGUACGUACAAGCAGUGGGAGCACCUUCGGGUGUGACUGCGUACCUUUUGUAUAAUGGGUCAGCGACUUAUAUUCUGUAGCAAGGUUAACCGUAUAGGGGAGCCGCAGGGAAACCGAGUCUUAACUGGGCGUUAAGUUGCAGGGUAUAGACCCGAAACCCGGUGAUCUAGCCAUGGGCAGGUUGAAGGUUGGGUAACACUAACUGGAGGACCGAACCGACUAAUGUUGAAAAAUUAGCGGAUGACUUGUGGCUGGGGGUGAAAGGCCAAUCAAACCGGGAGAUAGCUGGUUCUCCCCGAAAGCUAUUUAGGUAGCGCCUCGUGAACUCAUCUUCGGGGGUAGAGCACUGUUUCGGCUAGGGGGUCAUCCCGACUUACCAACCCGAUGCAAACUACGAAUACCGAAGAAUGUUAUCACGGGAGACACACGGCGGGUGCUAACGUCCGUCGUGAAGAGGGAAACAACCCAGACCGCCAGCUAAGGUCCCAAAGUCAUGGUUAAGUGGGAAACGAUGUGGGAAGGCACAGACAGCCAGGAUGUUGGCUUAGAAGCAGCCAUCAUUUAAAGAAAGCGUAAUAGCUCACUGGUCGAGUCGGCCUGCGCGGAAGAUGUAACGGGGCUAAACCAUGCACCGAAGCUGCGGCAGCGACACUAUGUGUUGUUGGGUAGGGGAGCGUUCUGUAAGCCUGCGAAGGUGUGCUGUGAGGCAUGCUGGAGGUAUCAGAAGUGCGAAUGCUGACAUAAGUAACGAUAAAGCGGGUGAAAAGCCCGCUCGCCGGAAGACCAAGGGUUCCUGUCCAACGUUAAUCGGGGCAGGGUGAGUCGACCCCUAAGGCGAGGCCGAAAGGCGUAGUCGAUGGGAAACAGGUUAAUAUUCCUGUACUUGGUGUUACUGCGAAGGGGGGACGGAGAAGGCUAUGUUAGCCGGGCGACGGUUGUCCCGGUUUAAGCAUGUAGGCUGGUUAUCCAGGCAAAUCCGGAUAAUCAAGGCUGAGGUGUGAUGACGAGGCACUACGGUGCUGAAGUAACAAAUGCCCUGCUUCCAGGAAAAGCCUCUAAGCAUCAGGUAACAUCAAAUCGUACCCCAAACCGACACAGGUGGUCAGGUAGAGAAUACCAAGGCGCUUGAGAGAACUCGGGUGAAGGAACUAGGCAAAAUGGUGCCGUAACUUCGGGAGAAGGCACGCUGGUGUGUAGGUGAAGCCCCUGCGGGUGGAGCUGAGACCAGUCGAAGAUACCAGCUGGCUGCAACUGUUUAUUAAAAACACAGCACUGUGCAAACACGAAAGUGGACGUAUACGGUGUGACGCCUGCCCGGUGCCGGAAGGUUAAUUGAUGGGGUUAUCCGUAAGGAGAAGCUCUUGAUCGAAGCCCCGGUAAACGGCGGCCGUAACUAUAACGGUCCUAAGGUAGCGAAAUUCCUUGUCGGGUAAGUUCCGACCUGCACGAAUGGCGUAAUGAUGGCCAGGCUGUCUCCACCCGAGACUCAGUGAAAUUGAACUCGCUGUGAAGAUGCAGUGUACCCGCGGCAAGACGGAAAGACCCCGUGAACCUUUACUAUAGCUUGACACUGAACAUUGAGCCUUGAUGUGUAGGAUAGGUGGGAGGCUUUGAAGCGUGGACGCCAGUCUGCGUGGAGCCAACCUUGAAAUACCACCCUUUAAUGUUUGAUGUUCUAACGUUGGCCCCUGACCGGGGUUGCGGACAGUGUCUGGUGGGUAGUUUGACUGGGGCGGUCUCCUCCCAAAGCGUAACGGAGGAGCACGAAGGUUAGCUAAUCCUGGUCGGACAUCAGGAGGUUAGUGCAAUGGCAUAAGCUAGCUUGACUGCGAGCGUGACGGCGCGAGCAGGUGCGAAAGCAGGUCAUAGUGAUCCGGUGGUUCUGAAUGGAAGGGCCAUCGCUCAACGGAUAAAAGGUACUCCGGGGAUAACAGGCUGAUACCGCCCAAGAGUUCAUAUCGACGGCGGUGUUUGGCACCUCGAUGUCGGCUCAUCACAUCCUGGGGCUGAAGUAGGUCCCAAGGGUAUGGCUGUUCGCCAUUUAAAGUGGUACGCGAGCUGGGUUUAGAACGUCGUGAGACAGUUCGGUCCCUAUCUGCCGUGGGCGCUGGAGAAUUGAGGGGGGCUGCUCCUAGUACGAGAGGACCGGAGUGGACGCAUCACUGGUGUUCGGGUUGUCAUGCCAAUGGCACUGCCCGGUAGCUAAAUGCGGAAGAGAUAAGUGCUGAAAGCAUCUAAGCACGAAACUUGCCCCGAGAUGAGUUCUCCCUGAGACUUUAAGUCUCCUGAAGGAACGUUAAAGACGAUGACGUUGAUAGGCCGGGUGUGUAAGCGCAGCGAUGCGUUGAGCUAACCGGUACUAAUGAACCGUGAGGCUUAACCUU
rnacentral:rRNA from 1 species